rnacentral:rRNA from 1 species
UAUCUCUGUAGAGUCUGCAUAUCAAUAAGCGGAGGAAAAGAAACUAACAAGGAUUCCCCUAGUAACGGCGAGUGAAGCGGGAAGAGCUCAAAUUUGAAAUCUUCAAGGUUUGACCUUGACGAAUUGUAGUUUAAAGAAGUGUUUUCGGUUAGAGGAGUAGUAAAAGUUCUUUGGAAUAGGACAUCAUAGAGGGUGAGAAUCCCGUAUUUGACUAUUCUUUCUAGCUUUGUGAUACACUUUCAAAGAGUCGGAUUGUUUGGGAAUGCAGUCCAAAAUGGGUGGUAAAUUUCAUCUAAAGCUAAAUAUUGGCGAGAGACCGAUAGCGAACAAGUACCGUGAGGGAAAGAUGAAAAGAACUUUGAAAGAGGAGUUAAACAGUACGUGAAAUUGUCAAAAGGGAAGCGUUUGACACCAGUGUUGUUUUUCCGAAAAUCAAUUAAAAAUUGAUUCAUGCCAGGUUGUAUUGACCUUAUCAGCUUGCAAUUUGGUUUUGGGUCUCUUUUUGAUGCACUUUUCGGUUAACAAGUCAACAUCAAUUUCCUUUGCUGUAAAAAGGUAAGAGGAAGGUGGCUUCAAUUUCGGUUGAAGUGUUUAUAGCCUUUUAUCUCUGCAGUCGGGGAGAUUGAGGUCUGCAGCGUAGAUCCUUCGGGGCUAGAUACAUUUAUGCUAAGUUAUAGCUUUUCAUAGACAGCUUGUUGACUAUGUUUAGUCAUGUAGCUUACUCGUAAGUGCUAUUUUACCUACGCUUAGGAUGUUGAAGACUCUACAGAGAUA